rnacentral:rRNA from 1 species
UACGUAGGGUGCGAGCGUUGUCCGGAAUUAUUGGGCGUAAAGGGCUCGUAGGCGGUUCGUCGCGUCGGGAGUGAAAUCCACUGGCUUAACUGGUGGCUUGCUUUCGAUACGGGCAGACUGGAGGUAUGCAGGGGAAGACGGAAUUCCUGGUGUAGCGGUGAAAUGCGUACGAUAUCAGGAGGAACACCUGCGGUGUAGACGGCUUUCUGGACCAUUGUUGACGCUGAGA